UGGCAUGGAGUCAGGUGCUCUAAUCUGGCCCAUGGCAGACUCUAAAAUUCUUUGAGCAGUUCCUAUCAAAACAGUUUUCAAAGAGGUUUUCCGUCACCACUUAAACUAGUAUUUCCUAGGGCCACUGGGUAAAAUCCCUGUUCAGAGAUGCUCUUCAUGCAGUAGCCGAUGGGUGGCUUAGGACCAAAAUAAUCUUCUUUGCCUUAAUCCCAUCCUGCUACUUUGACCUUCCUUCAGACAUCGCCGUUGUAGCCUGCUCAGCUCCCUCUGCCCACACACCUUGCUGCUGCUGGGAGAGAACCCUGACUCCUUGGAGAGCUUCAACAGCCCCUCUAGCAGCAAUAGCAGUGUGAAAGCAGAUCCUAGUUAAAAGUAUUUACAGGUGAAUGUUACUGUUGACUUGUCCUUUCCCAUUGUUGUUGUAAGCUUGUAACUUCCAUCAAAACUUGCUCUGAGUGUGUGAAACAUCCUUACCUGCCCAUCAGCAUGAUGAUGAUCAACAUUAGGAAAACUAACAACAUUUUUCCUGGGUCAAGGAGAAAGCACAGCCCGCCCAGGGCAACAAGCAGCUGAGCUGUGGGAGGGAAGUGCAGAAGCAACCCUAUCAGCUUCAACAUAUGCUCAGGAAUUGAUUAAGAUCUGCCGGCAGCACUCAUGGUUGGAACUGCCGCCACCAUCACAGGCAGGAGGGUUGUGCUGGCGGAGGGGGACACGCGCUGCUGCCUGCUGCGGGCACGGGAGCUGCUGGAGAAGACGGCUUCUGUGGGAGGCAGGAUGAAACAAGAGGCUGGAAGGUCCCAGGCCCUCUCUUCCCCCCGCAGCCUUUCUGCGGCACUUGUCCUCCUUGCCACCUCUCUUUGGGCCUUGAACCUUUCCUGAAGCCAAGCACCGGCAUGCUGUGGCAGUCAUGGCAGCAGUUGUGAGGACGGUGCUGCCCAGCACCAGUGUUACUAACGCACACACAGGAGUCGGAGCCAGUCUGCAGCUUGGCAUCAGCCUGCAUAAGGGGUGAGCUGCGUGUGUGCCGGCGCUAGCAGCACUUGAAUUUGAGCCUGUCUGAAUUUGAGGCUUGAUUUUCUCUCACCCCUGCUCCUUUACUUUGUAACUAAUGACAAAUCAAGUCCAUUCAUUAAAAGGAGGAAUCUGAUCCUGUAAUUGAGGAAAGAUCGCUUCUGAGCUAUUCUUAGCUCACUAAGGAGUUGCGUUAAGAGGCAGAUUUUGUUUUCACAACCCACCUGGCAGCCGAGAGCGCUCUUGUCAGAGGCUCUGCUCCUGCCCUGUGCUUCGGGUCCAGGCAUGUGGCAGGGAGAUCACAGGGAGCCGUCUCCUGGCAUCCCUGAAAUUGUUUCUGUUAUCGGACGGGAAGAACCAAGCAGUGCAGAAAGGAAGGGUUUGCCUUGUGCCACCGAUAACGCUAUUGUUAAUUACUGUGAUAGCACCAAGACGGCCUGCUGUGGCGGAAGGGCUGGAUAAUGCCCACAGAGGGCCCGACCCUUUCCUUGCAGUUCUGCAGUUAAACGCAGGCAGCAGCGAGGGGUGGACUUGGGGUCACAAGAGCCAUUUGGCAGAAGGGGCAACACAGGAAUUUGCGCCCAGGGUCACGCCUGGCAGUUGGCGGCACUGGCAAAAAGGAAAACUUUAACUCUGGUCUUGUCCGUCUCGGGCUGCCGGAGCAUCCCCGCACCCGCAUCCCCGCAGGGCUCCCCGGCACGUCUCGCACUGGGAACCCCGGACGGACGGCGGGUGCCGGUGCGUGCCGGAGGCGUGAAGCGGGAAUCUGGCGCGGGGCCGCGUGCUCGGUCGCGUCCUGACUCCGGGUUGCAGCUGGCGAGGAAAGGUUGUG